rnacentral:tRNA from 1 species
AAUAAGAAACAAACCUUUGUAUUUAGUUUCGACCUAAAAUUUUGAUGAUACCAUCCUUAUUU